GUCCGAACGCCACGCAAACACACACACAGCACCGCGUAGGUAUUAGGCACGCGUUACAACUGACGGGACUCGAUUCCGACAUACGGAGACCGAGUUAUCGCCUAGUUUGUAAAACUGAACAACACUUAGCCAAAAAGCCGAAAAAGAGCCCGAAACCCACAUCAUCCGUCCGAACGCCACACAAACACACACACAGCACCGCAUAGGUAUUAGACAUGCGUUACAACUGACGGUACUCGAUUCGGACAUACGGAGACCGAGUUAUAGCCCUGUUUGCGAAACUGAACAAGACUUAGCCAAAAAGUCGAAAAAGAGCCCGAAACCCGCAUCGUCCGUCCGAACGCCACGCAAACACACACACAGCACCGCAUAGGUAUUAGACACGCGUUACAACUGACGGUACUCGAUUCCGAUAUACGGAGACCGAGUUAUCGCCCUGUUUGCGAAACUG
rnacentral:lncRNA from 1 species